UGUUAGAAAAAAUAUAUGUACUUCCAAUCAAAUCGUGCAAUUUCCUUGGUACACAGGUGCACAUUCUUUGAUGCCCGAAAUGCAUUCCAAGCUCUAGAUAUCUGCCUUCAAUAAUGGCCUAUAAUCACAUUUGCCAAAAAACAGCUGCUUUGUAAUGCUGGUGUGUCCCACUUAGUUUGAUUAUCUUAGUUAAGCUGUAAUAUCGAACUCGAAGACCUGUUUCGUUAUUAUUUCUUGAAAUGCAGGUAUUUGAAGGUUUUGAAGCAAUUUUUUCAAUUAAUCUAUUUUCCUGGUGUAGAAACAGACCUAACUUGAUGUAUAUUGUUUAUUCUAAUUAAAGUAUAUUUGAAUUUAAAAUAUGAACUUCAAAUAUCAUUAUUUCUAGCUGAACCAGAAUUUCCUUUGGGACGAGAUGCUUUCCGGACAAACAUUAUUGUAUGCUGAUAUAAUAAUUAACAACCGAUCCUAUGGGCUGAAAUAUGUGUUAAAAGCUUGGAGCAAGACACAUUACGAUCGAUGGCGUUCGCUGACUGAUGCAUUGCUAUUUACUGCUGACUAGCUUAUCCUUCUGUUGCCUCUAAUCAGUGAUGAACACCAAUUAGAAUCAAUCGAUUUAAUUCACAGGAUAUUACGAUUGUUUACAAGGGCCCUAGCACCUGUAGUUUAAGUUAUUCGAUUCGAUUUUUAUUAAAUAACGCCGUUUUUCUUUUUCUGAUCUAUUAUUAGAGCUGUCAAUGUCUUCAUCUUAUAUUUAUUGCUGCGAUGUUUUACUUUAUUUUAUAUAUCAG